GUACACUCCUGCGGGAGGCAGCAGUGGGGAAUAUUGGACAAUGGGCGCAAGCCUGAUCCAGCCAUGCCGCGUGAGUGAUGAAGGCCCUAGGGUUGUAAAGCUCUUUCACCGGUGAAGAUAAUGACGGUAACCGGAGAAGAAGCCCCGGCUAACUUCGUGCCAGCAGCCGCGGUAAUACGAAGGGGGCUAGCGUUGUUCGGAUUUACUGGGCGUAAAGCGCACGUAGGCGGACUAUUAAGUCAGGGGUGAAAUCCCGGGGCUCAACCCCGGAACUGCCUUUGAUACUGGUAGUCUUGAGUUCGAGAGAGGUGAGUGGAAUUCCGAGUGUAGAGGUGAAAUUCGUAGAUAUUCGGGGGAACACCAGUGGCGAAGGCGGCUCACUGGCUCGAUACUGACGCUGAGGUGCGAAAGCGUGGGGAGCAAACAGGAUUAGAUACCCCAGUAGUCCCAUGAU
rnacentral:rRNA from 1 species